UGCUAGCAGGGAACGCUCGGCCAUCCUGACAUCUACGAACUCACUUCCUUGGUUCUGAGGUUGUAUUCGAUACUCUGUUCAUGGAGUGAAAAUGUGCAAGAAAAUAAGUUUUGUCAGGAGUGAGCUUCGAACCCACGUCUGGAGAACCAGACUGCGACCUGAACGCAGCGCCUUAGACCGCUCGGCCAUCCUGACAACUACGGAAUCACCUCCUUGGUUCUGAGGUUACAUUCGGUACUCUGUUCAUUGAGUGAAGAUGUGCAAGAAAAUAACAUUUGUCAGGAGUGGGAUUCGAACCCACGCCUGGAGAACCAGACUGCGACCUGAACGCAGCGCCUUAGACCGCUCGGCCAUCCUGACAUCUACGGAAUCAUCUCUUUGGUUCUGAGGUUACAUUCGCUACUCUUUUCAUGGGGUGAAAAUGUGGAAGAAAAUACAUUUUGUCAGGAGCGGGAUUGGAACCCACGCCUGGGGAACCAGAUUGCCACCUGAACGGAACGCUUAGACCGCUCGGCCAUCAUGACAUCUACGGAAUCGCUUCCCUGGUUCUGAGGUUGCACUUGCUACUCUGUUCAUGAAGGGAAAAUGUGCGAAAAAAUUACUCUUGUCAGGAGUGGGAUUCGAACCCACGUCUGGAGAACCAGACUGCGACCUGAACGCAGCGCCUUAGACCGCUCGGCCAUCCUGACAUCUACGAAAUCACUUCCUUGGUUCUGAGGUUGUAUUCGAUACUCUGUUCAUGGAGUGAAAAUGUGCAAGAAAAUAAAUUUUGUCAGGAGCGGGAUUGGAACCCAAGCCUGGAGAACCAGAUUGCCACCUGAACGGAACGCCUUAGACCGCUCGGCCAUCCUGACAUCUACGGAAUCUCUUCCUUGGUUCUGAGAUUGCACUUGCUACUCUGUUCAUGAAGGGAAAAUGUGCAAAAAAAUAACUUUUGUCAGGAGUGGGAUUCGAACCCACGUCUGGAGAACCAGACUGCGACCUGAACGCAGCGUCUUAGACCGCUCGGCCAUCCUGACAUCUACGGAAUCAUCUCUUUGGUUCUGAGGUUACAUUCGCUACUCUUUUCAUGGGGUGAAAAUGUGGAAGAAAAUACAUUUUGUCAGGAGCGGGAUUGGAACCCACGCCUGGGGAACCAGAUUGCCACCUGAACGGAACGUUUAGACCGCUCGGCCAUCAUGACAUCUACGGAAUCGCUUUCCUGGUUCUGAGGUUGCACUUGCUACUCUGUUCAUGAAGGGAAAAUGUGCAAAAAAAUAACUUUUGUCAGGAGUGGGAUUCGAACCCACGUCUGGAGAACCAGACUGCGACCUGAACGCAGCGCCUUAGACCGCUAGGCCAUCCUGACAUCUACGGAUUCACUUCCCUGUUUCUGAGGUUGUAUUCGAUACUCUGUUCAUGGAGUGAAAAUGUGCAAGAAAAUACAUUUUGGCAGGAGCGGGAUUGGAACCCACGCCUGGAGAACCAGAUUGCCACCUGAACGGAACGCCUUAGACCGCUCGGCCAUCCUGACAUCUACGGAAUCUCUUCCGUGGUUCUGAGGUUGCACUUGCUACUCUGUUCAUGAAGGGAAAAUGUGCAAGAAAAUAAAUUUUGUCAGGAGUGUGAUUCGAACCCACGCCGAUGCUACAUUGUUCAUGAAGGGAAAAUGUG